GGGGGAGGGGUAAGGAAAAUGGAGAGACGCUGGUCAAAGAAUACAAACUUUCAAUUAUAAGAUGAAUAAUAGACAACAUUCAAAAGCUCAACUGGUACCCCAAGAGAACAUGCACAUUAUCUGAGAGAGAAACUACUGGGAGAUCUGUAGAUGUCAAAGCAAGUUCAAGGGAAUGAUGUAACAGAAGGUGCAUUUUGUACUUGCUUUGGGAUUCAGCUGAGUUUGUGAAUUUCUCCUGAUGUCAAGGCAAAUCAAGUUACUCCAGGAGACAAUGAUCACAGCCCCCAUUGGAUCCCACCUUCUGGUCCUUGGCUGUUCUCAUAGCAAGCCAACUCAGGACAGGCCUAGCAUGCCCUCUCUGAGGACAUGGCUCACAAGGGUUGCAAGAAAAUCUCUUUAUGCUUCCUUGUGUUGA
rnacentral:lncRNA from 1 species